rnacentral:SRP_RNA from 1 species
UGUCGGUCCCUCCGCAACGGAACAUUGUGAACCCGGUCAGACCCGGAAGGGAGCAGCCGCAGCAGUGGAUCCCGUGUGCCGGAGUGUGGCUGGCAGGG